rnacentral:rRNA from 1 species
AACGAACGCUGGCGGCAGGCUUAACACAUGCAAGUCGAACGCCCCGCAAGGGGAGUGGCAGACGGGUGAGUAACGCGUGGGAAUCUACCUAGUUCUACGGAACAACAGUUGGAAACGACUGCUAAUACCGUAUACGCCCUACGGGGAAAGAUUUAUCGGAAUUAGAUGAGCCCGCGUAAGAUUAGCUAGUUGGUGAGGUA